GCCUCCUAUUUUCAGCGGAAUGUGAUUCAGGAAGAUACAUUCCACCCUCCUGGAAAUCGGAAAUAGGACCCGUGCUUUCACAAACAUUAAGUUCCAUCUUCCCUAAAACUUUAUUGCAAUUCCCCAGGAAUGGAUCACAGAGCUAUUUCUUCCUCCAGGUUUGUAGAUUUGUAAGUUGAGUCAUAGGGCAGGAGUACCUUUUUUUAUUUUAUAUAGGCUAAAAAUUUGUUGGAGAAGAUUAGUGAUCUGGAGAGGGGAAAAAAAAGAAGAACAAGAAGGAGAUGAAGAAGGGGAGGAAGAAGAGAAAGAAAGACAAAAGGAAGCCAACCCUAAUCCUUGAAUUCUACAAACUACUAACAAUUAGUCAAAAGUGCCUACUUGGAUUUCAAUACCUGACAUGCCUUUGAGUGUUGAAGAAUUAAAUGUUUUAUUCUGGUAUUGUUUUUUGAUGUCAUUUAUUUUUAACCUAUACUUGCCCCUAUCAAGAUCAUUCUCAGUUGAUAGUAAGAAAAAUAUGUAAUGUUGUUGCUAAUUUAUCUUGCAUUAGGUAAUUGAUUAUUUCAAAAGAGCAUUCUU
ensembl:lncRNA novel transcript, antisense to CPS1